GAAGCUAACGCGUUAAGUUCGCCGCCUGGGGAGUACGGUCGCAAGACUGAAACUCAAAGGAAUUGACGGGGGCCCGCACAAGCGGUGGAGUAUGUGGUUUAAUUCGAUGCAACGCGAAGAACCUUACCUGGCCUUGACAUGUUGAGAACUUUCCAGAGAUGGAUUGGUGCCUUCGGGAACUCGAACACAGGUGC
rnacentral:rRNA from 1 species